GAAAUGUAAAUGCAGGAUGACAACAUCAAUUACAAUAGAAUAUAAUAAUAAGAUAGUCAGAUACUCCAAAAAUAGGAUAUAAAACACAUUUUACAAUGAUUUAAAUGGAUUACAGUUUUAGUCCAUAAAACUCUUUUUUUUUCACUCAGUGAAGAUAAAAACGUAGACAUAUUCAUGUUGUAGUCUUUUUUAAUAUUCACAUAUGAUAGUGAAUUUGCAGCAUCGAAAUCUAUCAAAAUUAUCAGCAGCAUAUCAAAUUUAUACUAGUGUGACAAGUGGCUUUCCAGUCAGCACUUAAUGAAUACAAACUUCGCUAAGCUUCCUGAAUAGUUCUUCCUCGAAUAUUGGUUAUCACUUCAAUUCCUGCAUUUUUAUUUUGCCGAGACCGGUUGAAGCUACAAUAGAAAUUGAAUUUAUCAUCUCGUCAACCGUCUUUAUCACUGAUUAAUGUCUUUGUGCAAAUGGAGAUUUUUCACAAUGAGUAUAUGGUUCGAAGCUCACAUAUUCUAUUCUAUUUUACGGCUUACUGCUAAAUCAGCAAUAUCUAGGAGUUGCAAAAACCUACACGUACACUUUUUAUUUGCAUAAUUAGCAAAAUUUUAUGAUUUUCUGGCUCUGGAUCUGGGGCUCCUCAAUAAACCAAAAUUACAUAUAAAUAAGAUUCAACCAAUAUGUAAAUCAGAAUAGACAAAGUGCCAAGUUCCCUGGCAUUUCUUAUCACAUCAUAAUGAGUAUAUGGCUCGAAGCUCAAAUAUUCUAUUCUAUUUUACGGCUUACUGCUAAAUCACCAACAUCUAGGAAUGCAAAAAAAAUACACAUUUUUUAUUUGCUUAGCAAAAUUUUAUGAUUUUUCUGGCUCUGGAUCUGGGGCUCCUCAAUAAAGCAAAAUUACAUAUAAAUGAGAUUCAACCGAUAUGUAUCUCAGCAUAGACAAAGUGUCAAGUUCCUUGACAUUUCUUAUCACAUAAAUUUAUUAAUUUAAUAGUCUAAUAUUCAAGUUAUAUGAAUUUUCUGGUCCAAUCUUUCUCGGAUUUUUCCUUAUUUAUCAUUAAAAAUAUACUAUGUAAUAGAGGAAGGCCAAUAUUGAGCAGCUUGCAAUCUAAGAGUAAUUGAAAUAUUUCAAUUAUGCUCCCAAACCGGAAAAUUCAGUUGACUGCUAUAGAAAUUUUAUUCCAGUUAUUCUAAUUAUAAUAUAGAAAAAUUCCUCAAUCUCAAUUCAAGAAAUAAUAUCAAACAACACGGCAAGAAACGAAUUACAGAGGCAGCUAAAUGAAAAUACUAACGAAGAAUGAACCUCAUGCAACUCACCCUUCACUCAUAAUAUAUAUAUCCUUAAUAAUUGCACCGAAAAAUCAUAAAAUUAGGAUUGGUAUGCUUAAUUUCUCCCAUGCAACCCAUUCAAGCCAAUGAAAUUGAAUUUGGAGGUCCGAUUUAGAAUUAGGCUUGAAUUGGCUAAGUUUAAAUUUGGCGAAUUACGGCUGAUAGGUGAGAUUUUAAUCCGACGGUCGGAAUAGACUUCCGAGAGUUGCAGUAGCUCUAUUAGGUUAUUUUGGAUAUGCGUGCAAGUUUUCAGUUCAUUCAGAGAUGUUUAGGCCGAGUUUAUGAUCAAAUGCAAGUUUCGGAAGUUUUAGCUUCACUUAGGCUUGAAUCCGUGGUAAUUUGAUAAUUUUGAUGUUUAUGAUAGUGUUUUUAUGCUACGAGCAAGUUUGAAUGAACUAGUGUACCAUAUCUGUGCAUUUUUUUGAGGCCCUGGGGGCCUGGAGUGAUUUCGGGUGGUCAAACGGAGAAUCUUGAUGGUUGUUGCAGGUCUGGUGCACCUGGAUUCAGGUAUUUCCGCAUCUGCGUAAAUCGAGCCGCAGAAUCUAUUCUGCAUAUGUGGCCAGGAGAUCACAUAUGCGGUCCAUGAGAGACCGGGGUGACUCCACAAAAGCGGACAGGGUAUCGCUUCAGUGGGUUCGAAUAGGCGAAAAUGAGGUCGCAGAAGCAGAAUGGUGUGAUUCGCAGAAGCAGAUGGUUGGUCGCAAAAGCAAAAGGCCAAGGAUUUAAUGAAAAUUGCAUAAGCGGUCACAUGGAUGUAGAAGCCGUCCCGCAUAGGAGGCUACGGGAGCGCAAAAGCGAAAAUUGCUCAAGGGUUUUAAUGAAACAGUGUUCGCGAAUUUCAGAAGAUAAGAAAAUAUUUUUAGACUUCGGGAAGAAGCGAUUUUGGGCGAAGUUUAGGAGAUAUUGAAGGAGCUUCAUUAGGUAUGAACUAUUAACCUCUAUGUUAUUUUGGUGUAAAAAAUAUUGAUUAAUCACGGAAUUUCAAGGAUUUAAGGAUUAAAAAUGGAGGUUAGGGCUUGAAACUCAAGAGAGUUUAAAUGUGAGUUUUGGAGGGGCAAACAAACUCUGAUUUUGAUAAAAUUAUAUGUACGGACUCGUGGCGAGAUGAGGAAUCCGUUGAUGUGACUUUCAUAAUUAUUCGAGAAGUGGGCAUGGAGCUCGGGUUUUACCAACUUCGUGAGUUUUAGUGUUUUCGAAUAAUUUCGAUUGGGUUAUGUUUAUUUAGCAUAUAAUAACAUAUUCGUUGUGGUUUUGACUAGAUUCGAUGCGCGAGGAGGUCGAUUCCAAAGAAAAGGGCAUUAUGGACUAAUCUACGGCCAGCUUGAGGUGGGUAAUAGAUAGAUGAUGACCUUAGGGUUUGAAACCCCAACAUCUCACAUUGUGACGCUGUAUUGAGGCGAGACACGUACUCUACUAUGAGUGCGCGGUCUUUUGUGGAUGGGACUAUGGCUUAGUCCGUCCGAGCAAUGCCUAUAUUGUGUGAUAUGCCUAGAAAUUGUCUAGUAAACAUCCUACUUGGAUUGUUUUAAGCAUAUUGGGCUGCGAGCCAACUAUUUGGAUUUGUUAGUGAUUACCAUCACUAUUUCCAUGAUAUUGAGCAUGUUUCCAUAAUAUCAGUCUUGAGUUAAAUACUAUCUAGAAAUGAGGAGAAAUCUUCUAAGCCUUUAAUCACUUAAACUAUAAUGCCUAUUAAAUGAAACCGAACAUGGUAAUUGAUUGUGCCCGUGUGGCUUGCAUGCUCUAUAUAUAUAUAUAUAUAUAUAUAUAUANNNNNNNNNNNNNNNNNNNNNNNNNNNNNNNNNNNNNNNNNNNNNNNNNNNNNNNNNNNNNNNNNNNNNNNNNNNNNNNNNNNNNNNNNNNNNNNNNNNNNNNNNNNNNNNNNNNNNNNNNNNNNNNNNNNNNNNNNNNNNNNNNNNNNNNNNNNNNNNNNNNNNNNNNNNNNNNNNNNNNNNNNNNNNNNNNNNNNNNNNNNNNNNNNNNNNNNNNNNNNNNNNNNNNNNNNNNNNNNNNNNNNNNNNNNNNNNNNNNNNNNNNNNNNNNNNNNNNNNNNNNNNNNNNNNNNNNNNNNNNNNNNNNNNNNNNNNNNNNNNNNNNNNNNNNNNNNNNNNNNNNNNNNNNNNNNNNNNNNNNNNNNNNNAUAUAUAUAUAUAUAUAUAUAUAUAUAUAAAUAAUUGGACUGAUUAUGGACUGGGUUGUACGGCGUAGCGAAUGCUACUAUGUCAUUGCAUUUGGGCUGUAGAAGCCCCUCCAGAGUCUAAAACCCACAAUGAGCGCGGGUACCCAGUGGAUCGGGCUGUACGCUGCAACGGUCAUGUGCAUUGAAUUGCAUUCAUACAUUGAUUUACUGUUGUUUCAUCGUUAAAUGAGCUAAGUGAUAAGUUUCAGCUUUACAUUGUAGUAUUUUGGGAUUUCUUACUCUCAGUCAUUAUACAUGUCUAUUACCGCUGAGUUGGAAGUACUCACUUUACUCCCUGCACCUUGNNNNNNNNNNNNNNNNNNNNNNNNNNNNNNNNNNNNNNNNNNNNNNNNNNNNNNNNNNNNNNNNNNNGAAUUGAACUCCCUGCACCUUGUGUGCAGAUUCAGGUGUUUCGGAGACUUAGCUGAGCAGUCGCUGUCUUCCAGAGUUAAUUCAGAGUUGUCAAGGUAGCUGUCUGACGCUCGCAGGACCCAGCUUCUCCCCUUUUAUUCAGUUUUAUUUCCGUUUUCUAGACUUGUAUAUAUUUUCGAAUAUUGCUACUCAAUUGUUAGCUUAUAGGCUCUAGGCUAAUGACCUCAGGUCUUUGGGAGGUUUAUUGGCAAUUGUUACUAUUUUCACAAUUUCCGAUGUCUAUUAUUUAUGGUGGGAGAAUAUAUAUUAAUUGACAAUUUAAUUCUAUAAAUUGGAAACCUGUUGUUUGGUUGAGCUGUGAGUGUUAAUUGGUCGGACUUUCCUAGCAAUUAUGUUGGCGCCAUCGCGACCGGGGUUGGGGUCGUGACAAGUUGGUAUCAGAGCCUAGGUUACUAGGCCUCAUAAGUCAUGAGCCGGUUAGUAGAGUCUCGUGGAUCGGUACGAAGACGUCUGUACUUAUCCUCGAGAGGCUACAGAACCUUUAGGAAAAACUUCACUUUCCUGGAAUUCUUUUCGUGCGUACUUUAUUCAGCUCGGAAUAUAACUCUUGAAAUUCCUUCCUCACAUCUGUAUGCGCGCAUGACCGCUCGGUAUUAUAUGUGCCUUGAUGGCUUGUGAUUCUCAAUCGAGGGGCAAGAUGUAAUCUUCGUGAGGUUGAUGUUGGGCCAGUUUGGAGGACUUGAGGCCAAUCUUUGCCUACGGCUUGAGCACUAAGGUGCUAAUUCUGCGAUAUAGUUUUAUGAACUUAUACGUUCAGUAUUGUCCGCUAUGAUGGGAAUGGCUCCGGAUAGGUGCGCGAUGUGUAUGUUGGUGUUGUGCGAUAUGUCUAUAUGACUUUGAAGUGUUGAUGAAGGUUUGCUAAGUAAGAAAUGAAUCACUAAGUGUAUGAUUUCCAUUAUGAGUAGAAGUGUAGCUCCGACCAUGGGCGUGUGAAGAAUCUAUUCAAGUCUCCUAGUGGGAGUAAAGUAAAUUGCAUGAUACGAUAGGAGUUCAGACUCAGGAAGACUAAGUAGCUAUGAACGUGUAUGACGGUGGAAGGUAUACAGAAACAUUAUAUUGAGGCGAAGCAGAUGGGUUAUCUUUUGCAGAGUGUUCUAAAGUGAUGCGAUCAUUAUGUAAGAUGAGAGAAGAUACCAUGUGUAAUUGAAAGGUACGUGUUGUAAUUUGCAAAUUGGAGUCGCGUCACAGAGUGAACUCGGCUGAUGUGGUGAUGAAUGCGAGGUUUGUACAGGAUUUUAGUAUCUGAGGAUCUGUGUUUUCAUGAACUAGUAGAUGAUUCGAGUUUAAUCUCACUAUAAUAUCGUGGCAUCAUUAGAGUGAGAGUAUCAUGGCUUAUUAAGUGUGUCCUGAUGAGAUGGAUUCGGGCCAAGUUGGGAAGGUUGCUGUUGAUUAGAUGAUCGCACGGUUAUGAGCUAUGUUGUUUUCGUUUCGAGGUAUGCUGACGGAUCAAUCCUGGUUGCAGAAAAGGGGCUGAAGAUGGCGCGAGUAGAGCAAAAAUUUUGAUAAAGGUUACCUGGUGCUUCGUAGAGGCGAGAAAAUACUAGGAUGUCUUGAGCUGUUGUUGAUAAAGCAUGCUCAGUGUAUAGAGAAGGAAGACGGUUAUUGGUAUUAGAAUGAGAUCAUGUCCUGCGGUGUCAGAGUGCUAAUAAGGCAUAAGUAGUUCUAUUCGUUAAGUCAGAUAAUUUACAGCUGAGUAAGAGUGAAUCACUCUCGAGAAUGGUCUUAUUGCGUACACGAUUUGGCAUGUAACAAUCGAGUGUCUCCAGGUUGUGUACGUGGUUAGAGACCAUGUUUUCAACGGAAAAUGUCGAGGCUUGUCGUAUUCUUAUGUCGAAUAUGGGAUUCUACGUAUCAGUAUCUAGAAGAGAAUGGUAAGGAAUUCGGAUUUCACAGGAAGUUCUUCAAAGUAAAGUAUUCUAGAACGUGGUAUUUCUGGAAUGUCUGAGAGAGUAUUUGGUGGCCUAUAGGUCUUAGACAUGGUGGUCUUAUGUUUGAAGCUCCUGUGGUGAGCCUGGAUUGAGGCAUUGUGAUGCUACAGCGAGGGAGAAAUAUCGAGUGGAAGAUGAAUAAAAAGAGAAAUUUGAUAGACAUAAUAGCUCGAUAAUAGACCGAAUCGGCACGGUAAGGGUAUGAUUAAUUCUUUGUAUGUUUUCAAGGUAAUGAGCUUUUUUAGGCAUUUUGCAGCAAUGCUUUUGGGUGUUGACGGCUUGCUCAGCUUGGUUUAGAUAGAAGGAUUCUGUCCUAGCAGUCUAGCUUGCAUAAUAUAGUUGACAUAAAUGGUUUUGUUGGGUUUUAUCGUGGUAUGAAAAUGAGUAUAUUUUUCGUGGGUAUGCGAAGCAUGGAGUGUGUAAUGAUUUCUUUUCCUCUAGAUGGGAUCAACGAAAUUCUUGGCUAGUUGAGUGCGCCGAUGUCUGUGGCGCGGAAGGGAGAUAAAGGUCCGUAUGUUAUCCGAGUGUGGUACGGUAGAUGCGAUACGUUGUGGAGGAUUAGGAUUUGUGUAUGUAAGGCUUGCUUUAGUUCGGAAUAGAAAGUCCUUAAAUUCUUAAGCAGCACGGGCAACUGCAGGUGAUUUAAGAAUCGAUCUUCAGAUGAUUAGGGUGAAUGAUCCGCAUAUGAAAAAGGAAAAUGGUGUUGCUAAUCACAGUGAUUUGACAAGGGUAUAUGUUUUUGAGAAAAAGGGCAAUGUGAUUAAGUUGAUAGCACUUCGGUAGUGUUGCGGCAUUUUCUUGAUAGAACGACUAUUGAUAUCUGAGUUUGUUUGGUGGCACAUGUGGAAUUUCAGAACAUCUUUUAUGUAAUGAUUGGGUGCUCGAGGUAUAAGAUGUAUUUAUACUGCAGAAUUUGGGAUCAUGUAUAGUAACUUGUGUGCUAUGUGGAGUUGGAGACUGAGAGUUCUCAUGUUCAGGCGAUGUAAUGGUUGUGGAUAGCAUGUGUUGGUACUGUUGGCGGCUAUCGGGGGUUUGGAAGCCCGAGUGGAUUUUUCCUUUCUUGGUAUUUUAGAUAUUGGAUAUUGCAUUGGCGUAUAGACUGAUUGUCUCAGUGAUGGGUUAUUCUAGACGACUAUGCUAUGGGUUAUGUCGUAAAAUGCCACAGGUUGCGUGGCCAGGUGCAUCAGACUAUGUUCUAGUUGAAUGGUUGUGUUCCAAAGACCAGCAAACGGCUGGUAGGAAUUGCUUUCCUUAAUUUGGCCUUUGAGUCGGGUGGCAGUGUAAUGGUUCUACGUUGAUUCAGUUCCGGUAUUGAGGGACUUUAUGGAGGCGUUCUUGGUGGUCGGGCAUGUCGUCGGGCGAGGUUGUGGAUUUCAGUAUUUAUUUGGUGUCGAGCACCGUAUCGUACGACGUUGGCAUGAGUUAUAGUGGUGGAAGAAGCAGCUUCAGGUUUCUUGGUAAUGAGUUUGUUGUAAGUUGAUUGGAUACGUCUUUAGCUUGAGUUGGCCUGGUUAGUUACAAUUGUAUUAAUAAAGGAUAGGUUGAUUUGAUCGUUAUUAGACCUGCUAGUGAUCUGGGAAGAUCUAUGAGUUGCUUUUUGGUGCCGUUAGGUGUUAUGAUUUUUUGGCAGUGGCACAUAUAUUGCGGUGCUAUCGAGAUUCAUAGUGGAAGUUGAGUUUUGUAGCUUACAACGCUUUAAGUAGAUAUGAUUAUGCACUCAGUGUGUUUACAACCGAUACUCGGUAUUCUAUUAUUAAUGGGCAAAUUUGGCUCAAUGUGCAUCUUCCAACGUGAGAUAUUUGUGUAGAUCGGGUGGCACGCCACCACAUGUAUGUAAUUUGGAUCGGGUUGCAUGCCGCAAUAGUGCGAUGUUGAGAGUAGUUUUCCACAUGUUACUUUGUAUGCCUCGUUUCCUGGUUUAUGAGAAAAGUCCGUAUUGAGAGUUGCUCGGCGAAUAGCGCAUCGGCUGUGUCCUUACAGGAUUAAAUGGUGUAUGUUACUUGCUUCACUGUGGGUGUGAUGGUACUGAUGAGCUUGAGGUACAUCUCUUUCGUCUGGAUCAAUUUCCAUAUUUUGAGUAUGUUCGGACCGUCUAUUAUUGGUGUGCAUAUGAUGCAAGUUGUGGCUUAGGCAUGUGUUGAGGUGUCAUAUCACCAGAGUGACGUAUUGGAUUAGAGGUGAUCGUUGGAGUCAUCAUGAAUAUGAAUGGAUUUGGUUUCAGCUUGUUGGAAGGUUAAUAUCGAGGUUCGGUUCAGAAAUCUUUUAUAGUAAUAGUCAAAAGGGAAGUGACUUCAUGAAUGGUUGAUGUGAGAAAUUGUUACGUUUUAUUGCAUGUUUUAAUUAUCGUUGGCAGUAUAUGAAAGCAUCGGAAUAAGGCUUUAGCUAAUAAGGGGUUCCUACCGGUAAUUCAGAUGUUGUGGGCAAAUGCUAUGAAGAGAAGUUAUUGUUUCAAGUAUUUGGGUUAUGUAGUAUAUCAUAUAAUUGCACCUGAGGAUGCAGGUAUGGGUUAUAACCGCUGGUUCAGGUUUAUUCUGGGUAUGAUUUCGGAAGUGCAAUGUGGUUCUACGGUUUAUGGUCUAGAUGGACGGUGAAAUUUCAGCUGUGUUGUAUUAUAGGUGCCUAUGUAAGUUAGCGUGACGUGGGAUCACCCCGGGUAUAUGUUUGGUAAGGUCAUUCAGAUAUUGGUUGGCUUCUAGUACACCUCUCGGUACGCUCGAGGACGAGCGAUUAGUUAAGUUGGGGAGGAUGUGACGACCCGGUCCGUCGUCAAGUGAGUUACCGCCCCGUUUCCCUUAUAUUAUGCUUCACUAUGAUUCAACAUCAAUAUUUGAGUUGGAUGGAUAGAAUUGGAUUGGUUUUAGUUGGAAAUGAGACACUUAGUCUCUUAGUAGGAAGCUUGCUUUGGAAAAGUCAACUGGGAGUUGACUAUUUAGUUCGAUGGCUCGGAUAUGAAUUCUGAUGAUUCGGUUAGCUUCGGGGGAUGAUUUGUGACUUAGGAGUACAAUCAGAACUGAAUUUGAAGGUCCGGUGUAGAAUUAGGCUUGAAUUGACUAAGUUUGAAUUUGGCGAAUUCCGGCUAAUAGGUGAGAUUUGAUCCGAGGGUCGGAAUGGAAUUCCGAGAGUUGUAGUAGCUCCGUUAGGUGAUUUUGGAUAUGCGUGCAAAGUUUCAGGUCAUUCGGAGGUGCUUAGGCCAGGUUUUUAUCAAAUGCAAGUUUCGGAAGUUUUAGUUUGCCUUAGGCUUGAAUCCAUGGUAAUUUGAUGAUUUUGAUGUUUAUGAUAGUGUUUUUAUGCUACGAGAAAGUUUGAAUGAACUAGUAGAACAUAUCUGUGCAUUUGGUUGAGGCCCUCGAGGCCUCGGAGUGAUUUCAGGUGGUCAAACGAAGAAUCUUGAUGGUUUUUGCAGGUUUGGUGCACCUGGCUUCUGGUAUUUCCGCAUCUACGAAAAAGGAGCCGCAUAAGCAGUUCCGCAGAUGCGGUUAGGAGAUCGCAUAAGCGGUCCAUGAGGGACCAGGGUAAUUCCGCAAAAGCGGAUGGGGUAACGCUGCAGCGGGUCCGCAAAGGCGAAAAUGAGGUCGCAGAAGCAGAAUGGUGUGAUCCGCAGAAGCGAAUGGUUGGUCGCAAAAGCGGAAGGCCAAAGAUCUAGUGAAACCCGCAUAAGCGGUCACAUGAACACAGAAAUGGUCCCGCAUAGGCGGUUACGGGACCGCAGAAGCGAAAAUUGCUGAAGGGUUUUAAUGAAAUAGUGUUCGCGAAUUUCAAAAGAUAAGAAAACAUUUUUAGACUUCGGAAGGAGGCAAUUUUAGGCGAUUUUUAGGAGUAAUCGAAGGGUCUUCAUCAGGUAUGAACUAUUAACCUCGGAAUAUGUUAUUUUGGUGUAAAAAACAUUGAUUAAUCACGAAAUUUCGAGGAUUUAAGGGUUAAAAAUGGAGGUUAGGGCUUGAAACUUAAGAGAGUUUACAUAUGAGUUUUGGAGGGGCAAACAAACUCCGAUUUUGAUAAAAAUUAUAUGUACGGACUCGUGGUGAGACGAGGAAUCCGUUGAUAUGGCUUUUGUAAUAUUUUGAGAAGUCAGCCCGGGGCUCAGGUUUUACCAACUUCGUGAGUUUUAGUAUUUUUCGAGUAAUUUUGAUUGGAUUAUGUUUCUUUAGCAUAUAAUAGCAUAUUCGUUGUGGUUUUGACUAGAUUCGACGCAUGAGGAGGCCGAUUCCAAAGGGAAGGGCAUUGCAUACUAAUCUACGGCCAGCUUGAGGUGGGUAAUAGAUAUAGAUGAUGACUUGAGGGUUUGAAACUCCAGUGUCUCACAUUGUGACGUUGUAUUGAGGCGAGACACGUACUCUACUGUGAGUGUGAGGUCGUUUGUGGAUGGGACUAUGGCUUAGUCCGUCUGAGCAAUGUCUAUACUGUGUGAUAUUCCUAGAAAUUGGCUAGUAAACAUACUACUGGAUUGUUAUGAGCACAUUGGGUUGCGAGCCAACUAUUUGGAUCCAUUAGGGAUUAUCAUCACUGUUUCCAUGAUAGUAAGCAUGUUUUCAUAAUAUCAGUCCUGAGUUAAAUAUUGUUUAGAAAUGAGUAGAAAUCUUCUAAGUCUUUAAUCACUUAAACUAUAAUACCUGUUAAAUGGAACCGAAUAUGGUAAUUGAUUGUGCCCGUGUGGCUUGCAUGCAUAUAUAUAUAUAUAUAUAUAUAUAGGACUGAUUGUGGACUGGGCUGCAUGCCGCAGCGAAUGCUACUAUAUUAUUGGGCUUGGGCUGUAGGAGCCCCUUCGGAGUCUGAACCUCCACAGUGAGCGCAGGUACACAAUGGAUCGGGUUGUACACCGCAUCGUUCAUGUUCAUUGCAUUGCAUUCAUACAUUGAUAUCUAUAUGUCAUUGAUUUACUAUUGUUUCAUUGUUAAAUGUGCUAAGUGGUAAGUUUCAGCUUUAUAUUGUGGUAUUUCGGGAUUUCUUGCUCUCAAUCAUUAUACAUGUCUAUUACCGCUGACUUGGAAGUAUUCACUUUACUCCCUGCACCAUGUGUGCAGAUUCAGGUGUUCCGGAGACUUAGCUGACCAGUCGCUGUCUUCCAGAGUUUAUUCAGAGUUGUCGAGGUAGCUACCUGGCGUUCAUAAGACCCGAUUUCUCCCCUUUUAUUCAGUUUUAUUUCCGUUUUCUAGACUUAUAUAUAUUUUCAAAUAUUGCUACUUAGUUGUUAUCGUAGAGGCUCUAGACUCAUGAUCCCAGGUCUUUGGGAGGUUUAUUGGAAAUUGAUAUGAUUUUCACAAUUUCCGCCGUCUAUUAUUCAUGGUGGGAGAAUAUAUUAAUUGAUAAUUUAAUACCAUAAAUUGGAAAACGGUUGUGUGGUUGAGCUGUGAGUGUUAAUUGGUCGGGCUUGCCUAGCAAUUGUAUUCGCGCCAUCACGACCGGGGUUGGGGUCGUGACAGUUGUACUCUAAAGAUAAAGCAAAUUAGAGGUUAAAAUUGGAUUCUAUAUCAUAUUUAGACGAAUAAUUUUUAAAGCGAAGCACUCGUUCUGCUCCAAAUUAGUAUUUUUUUUUUUGCAUGAAUUAUAAUCUACUUAGAGUUCUUGAAGUAGCCAUUACUUUUCAGAUUUAAGUUUAUUUACCAAAAUUUUAGUUGAAGUUUAUUCAUGAAAUAUUAUCAUGGACCUAGGUAUAUAUUUUCAUAUAUACAUAAUGUCACGACCCGAAUUUUUUCCAGCAUCGGCUCGAAAAGAACUCAUCCAAGCACUGCAACAAAGAGAGGUUACGAUCGUCGAGCACAACUCCUGAACUAUGCUCGUGAAUUGAGGGAUGGCAAUUAUCAACAUCUCUCGUGCAAGUCUAACAAUUCAACACACAAAAAACACAAGGUAUAUAUAUAUAUAUUUAUUAUAAAGAAUGAAUGUUAUAGAGAGAUUUGAGAUAUGAUGGUUUCUUGUUAAUAGGAGUUAACACUUUGUGCAAAAAUGGAGAUGGACAAGAAGGAUUAGAUUGUCAUUUUCCCGUACGGAGUUCGACUCCGGGAAUGCGCUCGGGCCCCAAAUUUCCCUAAGGACCCUCCGGGACCGUCACAUCAUGGGUCCGGGUCCGUUUAUCUAAAAUAUUGACCAAAGUCAACUAUAGCAAUAUUAUUAUCAAAAUUCAUAGUUUUUAACACAGGAUUCAAAUAUUUCCACAUAAACAAAUUUUGGCUUCGCGCCCGGACAGUGCACGCGAAUCGAGGCAACCAAAUAAGAGGUUUUCAAGGCCUCGAAAGCACAAAGAAAUGAAGAAUUACGGUGAUGACCCUUUGGGUCGUCACACAUAAGGAGGUCAUACCAAAUUUUAUGGCACAUAUCCUCAAAAAGAACAUGAACAAACAAUGUCCAAUAAAUUGUGAUUAAAAAUAAAGUGUAAUAAACAAAGAAAAAUUGAAGGACAACUUAGCAAAAUAAAGAGCUCCAAGUUCAGAAGAGUCAAUACAGGAGAGAGAACUAAAGAAAAUCUGAGAAACCCUGAGGAUUAAAAGAACAUAAAUCAGAUACGGGAAGGGGAUAGACCAAAGCUAAACUGAAAUUACACAAUAACAGUAUAUUGGUGAAACAAGCUUCCUAAAUAAGAUCACUCAUAUCCUUGAAAUUGCAAGAAAACUUCGGAAAGGAAAACCCCUAAUGAGAUGGAACCCCAAAAAAGAGAAAGAAAUUAAAUGUGAAAACAGAAAUCUCUAAUUUAAAACCUUACCAAUUGUAACCAAAUACCAGUAAGUAAAGAAGAAUAGUAGAGAAAUUACCAGUUAUAAUGUUAUUAAGAAAUCCAGCAAAGACUCACGGAGAAAACUCGACAGAAGAUAGAGAGAAGAAGAGAUGAUGGAGCUGAAAUUUAC
rnacentral:lncRNA from 1 species